rnacentral:rRNA from 1 species
AUACGGAGGGUCCAAGCGUUAAUCGGAAUUACUGGGCGUAAAGCGUACGUAGGUGGCUUGAUUAGUCGGAUGUGAAAGCCCCGGGCUCAACCUGGGAACUGCAUUCGAUACUGGCAAGCUAGAGUAUAGUAGAGGCAAGUGGAAUUCCGGGUGUAGCGGUGAAAUGCGUAGAUAUCCGGAGGAACAUCAGUGGCGAAGGCGACUUGCUGGACUAAUACUGACGCUGAGGAGCGAAAGCGUGGGGAGCAAACGGGAUUAGAAACCCCAGUAGUCC